UACGAAGGGGGCUAGCGUUGUUCGGAAUUACUGGGCGUAAAGGGCGCGUAGGCGGCCUUCUAAGUCAGACGUGAAAUCCCUCGGCUUAACCGGGGAACUGCGUCCGAUACUGGAUGGCUAGAGUGUGGGAGAGGGAUGCGGAAUUCCAGGUGUAGCGGUGAAAUGCGUAGAUAUCUGGAGGAACACCGGUGGCGAAGGCGGCAUCCUGGACCACGACUGACGCUGAGGAGCGAAAGCCAGGGGAGCAAAGCGGGG
rnacentral:rRNA from 1 species